UCAAUAUUUUACAAAUUUCAAAUAAGUAUCUUAGUUUUAAAACUUCACUUACAUACAAUAUUUAAUUAGAUUAAAAUUAUUUUUAAUAAUAAUAUUAGCGUUUGCGUUUAACAAUUAAAAUUUAAAUCGUCGUGAAAUAUUAUUAUUUAUACACAUCUUAUAGAUUAUCGGACACGUGUAAAAAAUUAGGUUACUUCAAAAAGGUUCGCUUCGAAAUGAUGAUGUCUGAACAAAAUUAUAAAGUUAAUACAGAGGAAUCUAAAAAUUCGAAAACGGUAGAAGAUCAUGACGAAUAUCAGUAUUUGAAUUUGAUUAAGAAAAUAAUAAGAACUGGAGUUAAAAAAAACGAUAGAACUGGAGUGGGAACUUAUUCGAUUUUUGGGACACAGAUGCGUUUCAAUUUAACAAAUGGAAUAUUUCCUUUGUUAACUACAAAACGAGUUUUUUGGCGUGGAGUCAUAGAAGAAUUAUUAUGGUUUAUUAAAGGAUCGACUAAUGUAAAAGAAUUACAAGAUAAAGGAGUACAUAUUUGGGAUUCCAAUGGUUCUCGUGCUUUUCUUGACUCAUGUGGUUUUACUGACAGAGAAGAAGGUGAUCUUGGCCCUGUAUAUGGAUUUCAAUGGAGACAUUACGGCGUGGAAUACAAAAAUAUGCAUACAAAUUACGAAAAACAAGGUAUUGACCAAUUGAAGGAAGUUAUUUAUAAAAUAAAGCACUCACCGGAUGAUAGAAGAAUAAUAAUGACUGCAUGGAAUCCAGUUGAUAUCCCAAAAAUGGCUUUACCACCUUGUCACUGUUUGGUACAAUUUUAUGUAAGUAAUGGAACGUUAUCAUGCCAACUUUAUCAAAGAAGUGCUGAUAUGGGUCUUGGAGUUCCAUUUAAUAUAGCGUCAUAUUCUCUAUUAACUUAUAUGGUGGCUCAUAUAACAAAUUUGAAGCCAGGUGAAUUUAUACAUACGAUGGGUGAUUGUCACAUAUACAUUAAUCAUAUAUCGGCACUUGAAGAACAAAUAAAACGCACCCCGAGGCCAUUUCCCACAUUGAAAAUAAUUGGUGACGUUAAAGAUAUAGAUGACUUUACAUUUGAUAAUUUUGAACUAUUAAAUUAUAAACCACAUCCAAAAAUUGAUAUGCAAAUGGCAGUUUAAUCCAAUGUUUAUAUGUGUAUAUUUUAAAUUAAAAUUUUACCAAAUUAAAUCAUUUAAAAAACAAUUUGUAAAUAUUUUUUAAUUUUACUUACAAGAGAUAAGAAUGCAUUAUUUUACAGAUUUUUUUGAAACCUUAUACACUUGUAGGAGCCCAUUAGGACUAUACAUUGUACAUUAGGAGUGAAGGAAUAUACUCAAUCCUUUCCAAGAUAUUGAAUGAAGAAAUUUUACUAAUAUUCUUAUAUCAGUUCGUUUCAGCAGUUAGUACAAGCCUGAAUUGAGUUUUAGAUGGACAACCGCUUAGGGAUAUUACGUGCUCUUAAUUUUAGAAAGAUUUAAUCACUGCUUGCGUGAAAAGGUGAUGGACUGUGUGCUGGGAAGGUGUCAUAGCAAAAUUUCUCAAACCCAUAAAAGAGAGAGUAAUAACGAUAUAACUAUACAUUAUUGAAAGUGAUCGAUAAUCAAAUCUAGGACAAGAGAAAGUUAAAUAAAAAAGCUUCUGUAUCUAUAGUUAAGAAGGUAUAUAAGUUCCUGUCACUGACAUUUUGUGAAAGGUAUACGUUAACUUGACUAGAUCAUUACAUCUUAAGCUGCAUUUAGUAAAGAAUUCAACAAUGCUAAUAUAUAUAUUUCAUAUGAAUUACAAGAAAUAUAUCUUUAUAUAUUUUCUUUUACAUUCAAUAUGUAUUAUCACUUGUAACAAAUCAACAUCAAUUUAUUUUCUAUCAAAAUUAGAACAGAUGAACAAAUUGCGAAAACCUGUAUAUACAUUUGUCAAAACUGACAAGGAAGCAAAUAUUAAAUGGGGUGUGCGACAUUAUGUUCCUAGAGCAACAGAUAUAAAAAAAAUAACUAAACAUUCUGCUACAGCUACAAUGUAGAAUAAAAAUGCAAUAAUAUGCACU